rnacentral:tRNA from 1 species
UACGUAUAGUUUUUGAAAGCUGCUAACUUUUGAAUAGCGAUAAGCUACGUUG